rnacentral:rRNA from 1 species
AGCGAACGCUGGCGGCAGGCUUAACACAUGCAAGUCGAACGCCCCGCAAGGGGAGUGGCAGACGGGUGAGUAACACGUGGGAACGUACCCUUUGGUUCGGAAUAAAUUGGGGAAACUCAAGCGAAUACCGGAUAAGCCCUUAUGGGGAAAGGUUUACUGCCGGAGGAUCGGCCCGCGUCUGAUUAGCUAGUUGGUGAGGUAAUGGCUCACUAAGGCGACGAUCAGUAGCUGGUCGUGGAGGAUGAUCAGCCACACUGGGACUGAGACACGGCCCAGACUCCUACGGGAGGCAGCAGUGGGGAAUAUUGGACAAUGGAGGCAACCCUGAUCCAGCCAUGCCGCGUGAGUGAUGAAGGCCUUAGGGUUGUAAAGCUCUUUUACCCGGGACAAUAAUGACUGUACCGGGAGAAUAAGCCCCGGCUAACUUCGUGCCAGCCGCCGCCGUAA